GAUGAACGCUGGCGGCGUGCCUAAUACAUGCGAGUCGAGCGAACAGAUGAGGAGCUUGCUCCUCUGACGUUAGCGGCGGACGGGUGAGUAACACGUGGAUAACCUACCUAUAAGACUGGGAUAACUUCGGGAAACCGGAGCUAAUACCGGAUAAUAUAUUGAACCGCAUGGUUCAAUAGUGAAAGACGGUUUUGCCGUCACUUAUAGAUGGAUCCGCGCCGCAUUAGCUAGUUGGUAAGGUAACGGCUUACCAAGGCAACGAUGCGUAGCCGACCUGAGAGGGUGAUCGGCCACACUGGAACUGAGACACGGUCCAGACCCCUACGGGAGGCAGCAGUAGGGAAUCUUCCGCAAUGGGCGAAAGCCUGACGGAGCAACGCCGCGUGAGUGAUGAAGGUCUUCGGAUCGUAAAACUCUGUUAUUGGGGAAGAACAAAUGUGUAAGUAACUAUGCACGUCUUGACGGUACCUAAUCAGAAAGCCACGGCUAACUACGUG
rnacentral:rRNA from 1 species